rnacentral:rRNA from 1 species
CUACGGGCUGCACCAGUGGGGAAUAUUGGGCAAUGGGCGCAAGCCUGACCCAGCAACGCCGCGUGAGGGAAGAAGGUUUUCGGAUUGUAAACCUCUGUCCUUGGGGACGAAGAAGUGACGGUACCCAAGGAGGAAGCUCCGGCUAACUACGUGCCAGCAGCCGCGGUAAUACGUAGGGAGCAAGCGUUGUCCGGAAUUACUGGGCGUAAAGGGUGCGUAGGCGGCAUAUUAAGUCAGGUGUGAAAUACUCGGGCUCAACCCGAGGGGUGCAUUUGAAACUGAUAAGCUUGAGUGUGAGAGAGGAAAGUGGAAUUCCUAGUGUAGCGGUGGAAUGCGUAGAUAUUAGGAGGAACACCAGUGGCGAAGGCGACUUUCUGGCUCAUAACUGACGCUGAGGCACGAAAGCGUGGGGAGCAAACAGGAUUAGAUACCCGCAUAGUC